rnacentral:misc_RNA from 1 species
AUCCAAACUAAGUAUCUUCAAAUACAUGUGAGAACUUCAAUGGAUCUGUAAUUGUCUUUUUUUUGUCAGCCUAUAGAUAACAGAAUAGAUGCUUACAGUGAUAUGCUUUAGGGCACAAACAAGUUUUUUUUUAUAACUCAGGAUUAUCAACUACAUGAACUGUCAGGAUUAUAUGACCUUAAAGGGGUCGUAUGGUACAAAGAUA